CCCUUAGAUGUUCUGGGCCGCACGCGUGCUACACUGAGUGGAUCAGCGGGUCAGGUUGCGCGAAAGCGUUUCCUAAUCUUUAAAUCCGCUCGUGAUGGGGAUUGACGGUUGCAAUUUUCUGUCAUGAACGAGGAAUACCUUGUAAGCGCGGGUCAUCAUCCCGCGCUGAAUACGUCCCUGCCCUUUGUACACACCGCCCGUCGCUCCUACAGAUUGAGUGGUCCGGUGAGGCUUUGGGAUCUGAGCGGAAAGAGCGUUUCGCUGUUUCUGCUCGGAAAACUCAGUCGAACCUUAUCAUUUAGAGGAAGGAGAAGUCGUAACA
rnacentral:rRNA from 1 species